rnacentral:rRNA from 1 species
GUCAGACGAACGCUGGCGGCGUGCCUAAUACAUGCAAGUUGAGCGCUGAAGGUUGGUACUUGUACCGACUGGAUGAGCAGCGAACGGGUGAGUAACGCGUGGGGAAUCUGCCUUUGAGCGGGGGACAACAUUUGGAAACGAAUGCUAAUACCGCAUAAAAACUUUAAACACAAGUUUUAAGUUUGAAAGAUGCAAUUGCAUCACUCAAAGAUGAUCCCGCGUUGUAUUAGCUAGUUGGUGAGGUAAAGGCUCACCAAGGCGAUGAUACAUAGCCGACCUGAGAGGGUGAUCGGCCACAUUGGGACUGAGACACGGCCCAAACUCCUACGGGAGGCAGCAGUAGGGAAUCUUCGGCAAUGGACGAAAGUCUGACCGAGCAACGCCGCGUGAGUGAAGAAGGUUUUCGGAUCGUAAAACUCUGUUGGUAGAGAAGAACGUUGGUGAGAGUGGAAAGCUCAUCAAGUGACGGUAACUACCCAGAAAGGGACGGCUAACUACGUGCCAGCAGCCGCGGUAAUACGUAGGUCCCGAGCGUUGUCCGGAUUUAUUGGGCGUAAAGCGAGCGCAGGUGGUUUAUUAAGUCUGGUGUAAAAGGCAGUGGCUCAACCAUUGUAUGCAUUGGAAACUGGUAGACUUGAGUGCAGGAGAGGAGAGUGGAAUUCCAUGUGUAGCGGUGAAAUGCGUAGAUAUAUGGAGGAACACCGGUGGCGAAAGCGGCUCUCUGGCCUGUAACUGACACUGAGGCUCGAAAGCGUGGGGAGCAAACAGGAUUAGAUACCCUGGUAGUCCACGCCGUAAACGAUGAGUGCUAGAUGUAGGGAGCUAUAAGUUCUCUGUAUCGCAGCUAACGCAAUAAGCACUCCGUCCUGGGAGAAGCCA